rnacentral:ribozyme from 1 species
UCAGGGCGGGCAGGCCGAGGGAGCGGUCGAGGAAGUGCUGAAAGUCGAAGUCGCCACCGACGGAGUGCUGCCCGACGAGGUGUCCGAGGCGAUGGGCGCCGCGGUG